UGCGGGAGAUUGCCGCUCAACUUGAACCCAAAUCCUACGGCACUACGAGCAACGGCAAGAUUUUCCGCAGAGACAAUCUGCUUCAGAAGGACAGGAGGCUGUUGAGAGAGGGCGUACUGACUGGAAACCCAAAACAGGUCCAAAUCGUUGGACGUCAUCUUGGUUCUGCUGCCUGAUUUACUGCUGCUGCUACAGGACAAAGAUCAGAAAUAUGUAUUCGCUCAUCUGGAUGGGAAGCCUUCUGUUCUUCCCCUGCAGAAGCUGAUUGUGAGGGAUGCAGCUCACAGUGACAAGGUGAUGUAUCUUGAUCUCAGCGUCUGAUGUAAAAGCCGAUCUGUACGAGUUCCACGCCUCAACAGCUGAAGAACGAAGCAGCUGGAGACAGCAGAUAUGGGAAACUGUUGAGAAAUGUCCACAUGUGGAGGAAGAGCUCAUGGAGAAUAAUGACGUUACAGUGAUAAACUCCGAGAAGCUCACGACCUGCUGUGUGAGAAAGAUGCUCAGAUCGAGGAGAUCCUCAGGCAGAAGCUGCAAAAUUUUUCCAACCUGUCAGAGGUUCCCAUGGAGAACCCCACUACAGCAAGACGCCUGCUGCUGCAAGGUUCUGCGCCUGAGCUCCAGCAGGGGGAGCUGUUAAUUAACAAGGCCAUCAUACAUGCUGAGGCUUUACAGAUGCAGCUGAUGGAUGGAGAGAUGAACUUUAUCUCUGUCUGGAGAGAGUGAUGUCGAGCUGCGCAGAAAAUCACUAACUCUGCCUGCAUACAACAGAAUGAAAAGAAGUGCUGAUGGAUUUCGGUCCAGAGAUCAGAGACCGAACUCAGAUCCUCAUCUCAGAGACCUUUACCUUGAGCCCCUGGAGUUAUCUGUGUGUAACACUUCUCUCUCUUUCUCUCGCUCUCUCUCUGUCUUUGUCUCUCUCGUGCUCUCUCUCUGUCUUUCUCUCUCUGUCUCUCUCACACUCUCUAUCUCUCUCUCUCUCUCUCUCACUCUCGCUCUCUUCUCUCUCUAAUCAUCUCUGUGUGGUUUUCAGGCUGAUGAUGAGACUGCUCCACUUUUUCUCCUCCAGCAUGCGCCUUCAGAGCUGAGUGGAUUGAGGCUGCAGAUAAACUGAUACGGACGCUGUACAGUCUGAAGGCGCUGGUGUCUCAGCAGGACAGCGAGUUGGAGGUUCUGCGUGCAGUUCAGUUGGAGCAUGAGCGUUCGUCCCGUCAGCGUUACAGCUCCAUCCAGGAUCAGGAGCGACAGCGGCACCUGGAGAAGCAGCGUGAGGAGCUCCUCCACCUGCAGAAGGUCCAUACGCAGCAGCGGCAGGAGCAGGAGGAGUGGGCUCGCGAGCGUCAGCGCCACCUGCUGGAGAUGCACAGGCGCGAGCAGGAGCUGAGCCGCCGCAUGGACGAGUACACCAACAAGGAGGCGUGGCUCUGUGCCGAGAGGACGUCCUGCACCGCAGCCGGGAGGAGUACCAGCAGGACCUGGAGCGUCUGAGGGACAGCACUCGCAUUGUGGAGAAGGAGAAGGAGAAACUGGAGCAGGAUAUCAAGAGAUUCAGAAAACACAAGAACCUCACCAAUCUGGGUGGAGCCUCAACCUGGGCGGGGCCUCACAUCAGGACAGCGCACAGCUGGUUGUUCCAUAUUCAUCAGCUGACGAUAGGCUUGGCAGAUCUCCGGUACAGCCCAGUCUGCCUCAGGAGCGCCCUCCAGUGGUCCCUCCUCGCAAAGAGAGCAUGAGUGUCUCGGCGAGCGUCAAAGCAGAUGUUCCAUCCAGCUGCUGAGCACCACCAACGAGGCGCUUAAAGUCCAGCAGCAUCCAGCAGCAAAUCCCAACUAAACUAGCCAUUAGCAGCGGGAAGGAGAAGAACAAGAGCAAGAACAUACAUCAUCGCAACAACAGCGCAGCCUCGAUAGAAGUUUCUGAAGUGUUUCCUAUUAAGGUGUCGGGAA
ensembl:lncRNA